AUUGAACGCUGGCGGCAGGCCUAACACAUGCAAGUCGAACGAGUGGCGGACGGGUGAGUAAUGUCUGGUAAACUGCCCGAUGGAGGGGGAUAACUACUGGAAACGGUAGCUAAUACCGCCUACCCUCGGAUGUGACUAGAUGGGAUGAGCGAGUGGGUGGGUUAACGGCUAACCUAGGCGACGACCCCUAGCUGGGUUGAGAGGAUGACCGCCCACACGGGAACUGAGCAACGGUCCAGACUCCUACGGGAGGAAGCAGUGGGGAAUUUUGCACAAUGUGCUCAAGCCUGAUGCAGCCAUCCGCCGGGUAUGAAGAAGGCCUUCGGGUGGUAAAGUACUUUAAGCGGGGAGGCGGUACCCGAAGAAGAAGCACCGGCUAACUCCGUGCCAGCAGCCGCGGUAAUUC
rnacentral:rRNA from 1 species